rnacentral:lncRNA from 1 species
GUCAUAUGAUACACAAUCCUGGUGAUAGAGAGAGCGAGAUGGAGAGAGAGAGAGAGAGAGAGAGAGAGAGAGAGAGAGAGAGAGAGAGAGAGUUCCCUCCAUAAUCACCUUAAUAUGAAAAUAUGUAGGUUAACCUGAAUGUGAUGUAUAGGAAGUGGGUAGUAGCAGGACUGGAUGAAAUAAAACAUUUUGCUGUUAAAUGUAUGUGCAUUAGAAGUGGUUAGAGCGUUGGGCCAGUAACCCGGAAGGUUGUUAGAUCGAAUCCCCGAGCUGACAAGGUAAAGAUCUGUCGUUCUGCCCCCGAACAAGGCAGUUAACUCCAUUGUUCCUAGGCCGUCAUUGAAAAUAAUAAUUUGUUCUUAACGGACUUGCCUAGUUUAAAAAAAAGGUUAAAUAAAAAAAAGGUUAAAUCUUGUUCAAUUUACAAGUCUUAAAUCUCUCUCUCUCUCCCUCUCUAUCAGCCGGACUGCAUCUCAUAUGACUCCCUGUGUAGGGCACUACUAUUGAGCAGAGUCCAUAGGGCUGUGGUCAAAAUAAGUGCACUAUAUAUGGAAUAGGUUUCCAUUUAGUAUACAGCCCUAUCUAUGAUCUUUCACUCUUCUAUCACUGUCAUUGCAACAUAGCCUACAUUAUUUCAGUCUAAGGAGGAUAAGUUGGAUGGAUAACGUCAGUCUAAAGAGGAUAAGUUGGAUGGAUAACGUCAGUCUAAGGAAGAUAAGUUGGAUGGAUAACGUCAGUCUAAGGAGGAUAAGUUGGAUGGAUAACGUCAGUCUAAGGAGGAUAAGUUGGAUGGAUAACGACAGUCUAAGGAGGAUAAGUCGGAUGGAUAACGUCAGUCUAAGGAGGAUAAGUUGGAUGGAUAACGACAGUCUAAGGAGGAUAAGUUGGAUGGAUAACGUCAGUCUAAGGAGGAUAAGUCGGAUGGAUAACGUCAUUCUAAAGAGGAUAAGUUGAUGGAUAGCGUCAGUCUAAGGAGGAUAAGUUGGAUGGAUAACGUCAGUCUAAGGAGGAUAAGUUGGAUGGAUAACGACAGUCUAAGGAGGAUAAGUCGGAUGGAUAACGUCAGUCUAAGGAGGAUAAGUUGGAUGGAUAACGACAGUCUAAGGAGGAUAAUUGGAUGGAUAAUUCUGCAGCCAUAUUAGAUGACCGGCUGUCUGUCCUUUCCCUCGAUGGUAAGUAACUUUAGACAGCAUGUGUCUACAUAACUCAGAGGGGUGAGGCUGGCUGACCUCUACCACAUAAAGGUCAUUUACCAUGACUUCAGCAUUGAGAUGACUCAACAACUAAACUGGCUUUAAGACAACUAAGACUGAUGAAAGUAUAGACAACGUAAAUGUUACAUGAUAAAAACGUGUUACAGUAAAUUUACAACACAUAUCAUUUUCUGUACCUUUUCUGUGAUUCACUGUCUCGUCCACAUCCCAGAAUCCUCCUCGUCUCCACUCGUAGUGUUUGUGUUUGUGUGUCAAAGUACCGGCACACACAGGCUGGUCUUAGGAAGAAGGCCAUGCAGGCAGUCACUCCACUUUUCUAGACUGAGUCUAUGCAGACCAGGCUCCACUGAAAACACUAUGCUUAAAAUUCUACCUUAAAUCCUACCUCUUCCCUUCUCUGCAACAAAUUCUUAGAACCUAGAAUGAAUUCUAAGAACUUUCAAAAAUCUAAAAGGACAAUGACAAACCAACAGCAACUGACAUGGUCCUCACUUUCCUGCCACUCCACUGUAGAUCAAAGACACAAACCUUGCGACACCUCAGCCUCAGGUAACAGAAGCAUGCCUUCAGGCCCCCCAGAUUACACACUGGUUUUCCUCCAGAACACCCCUCUCCUCUCCUAGAGAACAACCCUCUCCUCUCCUCUCCUCUCCUCUCCUCUCCUCUCCUCUCCUCUCCU